UCCUCCUCCUCCUCUCUCUCUCUCUCUCUAUCUCUCACACACACAUAAAAACAACGUGCAUCCCUUUCCUCUAUCUCUCUCUCUUUCUGUAUGUGUUGUGUCUGAGUAGAGAGAGAGAGAGAGCAGUGGCAUCCCAAAACUUCAAAGCUUAAAUAACAAAGCGUAUUAGGUUGGGAUAUAGGUUCUCUAGUGAGUCCACGAAGUAAAUGUAU
rnacentral:lncRNA from 1 species